rnacentral:lncRNA from 1 species
CACUUUCAAAUCAGUUGAUUCCAGUUUCCCAAUUUGGGAAUAGGACAGCUUGUUCGUCGUUCCAAUCAAGCCAGGAUGAAUCACUUGGUGAGAAGCUUGAUUUGGGUACAUAAAGUGGUGUAGAAUCACCAGGAAGUUGAAUAAAUCUCAUAGGAGUGGGGAUGAAGAAGUUAUCUCACUUUCAAAUAAGGUGAUUCCAGUUUCCCAGUUUGGGAAUAUGACAGCUUUUUCGUCGUUCGAAUCAAACCAGGAUGAAUCACUUUGUGAGAAACUUGAUUUGGAUACAUAAAAUGGUGGAGAAUCACCAGGCAGUUGAAUAAAUAUCAUAAGAGUUGGGAUGAAUAAAUUAUCCCACUUUCAAAUCAGGUGAGUCCAGUUUCCCAAUUUGGGAAUAGCACAGUUUCUUCGUCGUUCCAAUCAAACCAGGAUGAAUCACUUUGUAAGAAGCUUGAUUUGGAUACAUAAAGUGGUGGAGAAUCACCAAGAAAUUGAAUAAAUCUCAUAGGAGUUGGCAAGAAGAAGUUAUCCCACUUUCAAAUCAGGUGAUUCGAGUUUCCCAGUUUGGGAAUAACACAGCUUCUUCGUCGUUCCAAUCAAACCAGGAUGAAUCACUUUGUGAAAAGCUUGAUUUGGAUACACAAAGUGGUGGAGAAUCACCAGGAAGUUGAAUAAAUCUCAUAGGAGUUGGCAUGAAGAAGUUAUCCCACUUUCAAAUCGGGUGAUUCCAGUUUCCCAGUUCGGGAAUAGCACAGCUUCUUCUUCGUUCCAAUCAAACCAGGAUGAAUCAAUUUGUGAAAAGCUUGAUUUGGAUACAUAAACUGGUGGAGAAUCACCUGGAAGUUGAAUAAAUCUCAUAGGAGUUGGCUUGAAGAAUUUAUCCCACUUUCAAAUCAGGUGAUUCUAGUUUCUCAGUUUGGGAAUAGCACAGCUUCUUCGUCGUUCCAAUCAAACCAGGAUGAAUCACUUUGUAAGAAGCUUGAUUUGGAUACAUAAAGUGGUGGAGAAUCACCAGGAAGUUGAAUAAAUCUCAUAGAAGUUGGCAUGAAGAAUUUAUCCCACUUUCAAAUUAGGUGAUUCCAGUUUCCCAGUUUGGGAAUAGGACAGCUUGUUCGUCGUUCCAAUCAAGCCCGGAUGAAUCACUUGGUGAGAAGCUUGAUUUGGAUACAUAAAGUGGUGUAGAAUCACCAGGAAGUUGAAUAAAUCUCAUAGGAGUGGGGAUAAAGAAGUUAUCCCACUUUCAAAUAAGGUGAUUCAUGUUUCCCACUUUGGGAAUAGGAUAGCUUUUUCGUCGUUCAAAUCAAACCAGGAUGAAUCACCUUGUAAGAAGCUUGAUUUGGAUACAUAAAGUUGUGGAGAAUCAUCAGGAAGUUGAAUAAAUCUCAUAGGAGUUGGCAAGAAGAAGUUAUCCCACUUUCAAAUCAGGUGAUUCCAGUUUCCCAGUUUGGGAAUAGCACAGCUUCUUCGUCGUUCCAAUCAAACCAUGAUGAAUCACUUUGUGAGAAGCUUUAUUUGGAUACAUAAAGUGGUGGAGAAUCACCAGGAAGUUUAAUAAAUCUCGUAGGAGUUUGGAUGAAGAAGUUAUCUCACUUUCAAAUCAGGUGAUUCCAGUUUCCUAGUUUGGGAAUAGCACAGCUUCUUCGUCGUUCCAAUCAAACCAGGAUGAAUCACUUUGUAAGAAGCUUGAUUUGGAUACAUAAUGUUGUGGAGAAUCAUCAGGAAGAUGAAUAAAUCUCAUAGGAGUUGGCAAGAAGAAGUUAUCCCACUUUCAAAUCAUGUGAUUCCAGUUUCCCAGUUUGGGAAUAGCACAGCUUCUUCGUCGUUCCAGUCAAACCAUGAUGAAUCACUUUGUGAGAAGCUUGAUUUGGAUACAUAAAGUGGUGGAGAAUCACCAGGAAGUUGAAUAAAUCUCAUAGGAGUUGGCAAGAAGAAGUUAUCCCACUUUCAAAUCAGGUGAUUCCAGUUUCCCAGUUUGGGAAUAGCACAGCUUCUUCGUCGUUCCAAUCAAACCAUGAUGAAUCACUUUGUGAAAAGCUUGAUUUGGAUACAUAAAGUGGUGGAGAAUCACCAGGAAGUUUAAUAAACCCAUAGGAGUUGGGAUGAAGAAGUUAUCCCACUUUCAAAUAACGUGAUUCCAGUUUCCCAGUUUGGGAAUAGCACAGCUUGUUCGUCGUUCCAAUCAAACCAGGAUGAAUCACUUUUUGAGAAGCUUGAUUUGGAUACAUAAAGUGGUGGAGAAUCACCAGGAAGUUGAAUAAAUCUCAUAGGAGCUGGCAAGAAGAAGUUAUCCCACUUUCAAAUCAGGUGAUUCCAGUUUCCCAGUUUCGGAAUAACACAGCUUCUUCGUCGGUCCAAUCAAACCAGGAUUAAUCACUUUGCGAGAAGCUUGAUUUGGAUACAUAAAGUGGUGGAGAAUCACCAGGAAGUUGAAUAAAUCUCAUAGGAGCUGGCAAGAAGAAGUUAUCCCACUUUCAAAUCAGGUGAUUCCAGUUUCCUAGUUUGGGAAUAGCACAGCUUCUUCGUCGUUCCAAUCAAACCAGGAUG